GAUGAACGCUGGCGGCGUGCUUAACACAUGCAAGUCGAACGGAAAGGCCCAAGCUUGCUUGGGUACUCGAGUGGCGAACGGGUGAGUAACACGUGGGUGAUCUGCCCUGCACUUCGGGAUAAGCCUGGGAAACUGGGUCUAAUACCGGAUAGGACCACAUUUUGGAUGGUGUGGUGGAAAGUUUUUCGGUGUGGGAUGAGCUCGCGGCCUAUCAGCUUGUUGGUGGGGUAAUGGCCUACCAAGGCGUCGACGGGUAGCCGGCCUGAGAGGGUGUACGGCCACAUUGGGACUGGGAUACGGCCCAGACUCCUACGGGAGGCAGCAGUGGGGAAUAUUGCACAAUGGGCGCAAGCCUGAUGCAGCGACGCCGCGUGGGGGAUGACGGGCUUCGGGUUGUAAACUCCUUUCGCUAGGGACGAAGCGUUAUGUGACGGUACCUGGAGAAGAAGCACCGGCUAACUACGUG
rnacentral:rRNA from 1 species